AAUCUACUACAUGGAUAACCGUGGUAAUUCUAUGGCUAAUACAUGCGCAAAUAUCCUUUUUCGCAAGAAAGAGGAUAGUGUUUAUUAGAUACAGAACCAAUACACCAUCUGUUAACAGCAGGUGGUGUAAAAAAGGUGAUUCAUAGUAACCGAACGGAUCGCAUUAUGGUCAUUUUAUAUGGCUGGCGAUAGAUCAUUCAAGUUUCUGACCUAUCAGCUUUCGACGGUAGUGUAUUGGACUACCGUGGCAGUGACGGGUAACGGGGAAUUAGGGUUCGAUUCCGGAGAGGGAGCCUGAGAAACGGCUACCACAUCUAAGGAAGGCAGCAGGCGCGCAAAUUACCCAAUCCUGACUCAGGGAGGUAGUGACAAGAAAUAACAACACUGGAAAUUUUAUUUCUAGUGAUUGGAAUGAUGGGAAUUUAAACCCCUUUCAGAGUAACAAUUGGAGGGCAAGUCUGGUGCCAGCAGCCGCGGUAAUUCCAGCUCCAAUAGCGUAUAUUAAAGUUGUUGCAGUUAAAAAGCUCGUAGUUGGAUGUCUGCUGGAAGCAAUCAGUCCGCCCUAUUUGUAGGGUGUGCACUUGAUGAAUUCUGGCAUCUAUAUCCCAAUAAUAUGAUGGUGUAUACCCUGUGUACACCCAUCUAUAUUGGGAUAAUACCGUUACUUUGAGAAAAUUAGAGUGUUUGAAGCAGGCUAAUUGCCUUGAAUACUGCAGCAUGGAAUAACAAUAUAGGAUUUCGGUUCUAUUUUGUUGGUUUCUAGGACUGAAAUAAUGAUUAAUAGGGACAGUUGGGGGCAUUCGUAUUUAACUGUCAGAGGUGAAAUUCUUAGAUUUGUUAAAGACGAACUACUGCGAAAGCAUUUGCCA
rnacentral:rRNA from 1 species